AUUGAACGCUGGCGGCAGGCCUAACACAUGCAAGUCGAACGAGUGGCGGACGGGUGAGUAAUGUCUGGGAAACUGCCUGAUGGAGGGGGAUAACUACUGGAAACGGUAGCUAAUACCGCAUACCAUCAGAUGUGCCCAGAUGGGAUUAGCUAGUAGGUGGGGUAACGGCUCACCUAGGCGACGAUCCCAUGCUGGUCUGAGAGGAUGACCAGGCACACUGGAGUGGAAACACGGUCCAGACACCUGCGGGAGGCAGCGGUGGGGAAGAUUGCACAAUGGGCGCAAGCCUGAUGCAGCCAUGCCGCGUGUAGGAAGAGGGCCUUCGGGUUGUAAAGUACUUUCAGCGGGGAGGCGUUACCCGCAGAAGAAGCACCGGCUAACUCCGUGCCAGCAGCCGCGGUAAUAC
rnacentral:rRNA from 1 species